rnacentral:rRNA from 1 species
GACGAACGCUGGCGGCGUGCUUAACACAUGCAAGUCGAACGGAAAGGCCCUGCUUUUGUGGUGUGCUCGUGUGGCGAGGGGGUGUGUAACACGUGUGUAACCUGCCCUUGUCUUUGGGAUAACUCCAGGAAACUGGGGCUAAUACCGGAUAGAAGCUCCUGCUCCAUGGUGGGGGUUGGAAAGUUUCGGCGGUUGGGGCUGGUCUGGCGGCUUAUCGGCUUGUUGGUGGGGUAGUUGCUUACCAAGGGUUUGACGGAUAGCCGGCCUGGGAGGGGGACCGGGGACAAUGGGCCUGAGAUAGGGCGCAGACGCGAACGGGAGGCAAUGGUCGGAAGCAUGACAGAAUGAGGGGGCGCCUGUGGCGGAGGCGCCGCGUUCGUGAAGACGGCCUUCGGGUUGUAAACCGCUUUCGCCGGUAACGAGGCGUGAGUGACGGUAAUGGGUAAAGAAGCACCGGCUAACUACGUG